rnacentral:rRNA from 1 species
CYYAGCGGKAUCGGAUUACUGGGCGUAAAGCGCACGCAGGCGGUUUGUUAAGUCAGAUGUGAAAUCCCCGCGCUUAACGUGGGAACUGCAUUUGAAACUGGCAAGCUAGAGUCUUGUAGAGGGGGGUAGAAUUCCAGGUGUAGCGGUGAAAUGCGUAGAGAUCUGGAGGAAUACMGGUGGCGAAGGCGGCMMCMUGGACAAAGACUGACGCUCAGGUGCGAAAGCGUGGGGAGCAAACAGGAUUAGAUACMCWGGUAGUCCACGCUGUAAACGAUGUCSACUUGGAGGUUGUGCCCUUGAGGCGUGGCUUCCGGAGCUAACGCGUUAAGUCGACCGCCUGGGGAGUACGGCCGCAAGGUUAAAACUCAAAUGAAUUGACGGGGGCCCGCACAAGCGGUGGAGCAUGUGGUUUAAUUCGAUGCAACGCGAAGAACCUUACCUACUCUUGACAUCCACAGAAUUCGGSRGAGAUGCCUUAGUGCCUUCGGGAACUGUGAGACAGGUGCUGCAUGGCUGUCRUCAGCUCGUGUUGUGAAAUGUUGGGUUAAGUCCCGCAACGAGCGCAACCCUUAUCCUUUGUUGCCAGCRCGUARUGGUGGGAACUCARAGGAGACUGCCGGUGAUAAACCGGAGGAAGGUGGGGAUGACGUCRAGUCAUCAUGGCCAUUASGGGUAG